GUAACGACUCUCGGCAACGGAUAUCUCGGCUCUCGCAUCGAUGAAGAACGUAGCGAAAUGCGAUACUUGGUGUGAAUUGCAGAAUCCCGUGAACCAUCGAGUCUUUGAACGCAAGUUGCGCCCGAAGCCAUCAGGUUGAGGGCACGUCUGCCUGGGUGUCACG
rnacentral:rRNA from 1 species